rnacentral:misc_RNA from 1 species
GUAGGUGAACCUGUGGAAGGAUCAUUGUCGAGCCCUGCAAGAGCAGAACGACCCACGAGCCGGUAACCCUACUCCGGGAGGGUGUUCCCUCCCGUCGCGGGCGAGCGUGCGGACGCGGCCUCACAGCAACGGAUUGUUUUGCCCUCCCACGACGAACAACGAACACCGGCGCAAGAUGUGCCAUGGAACCAAAACGAAUGAGCGCGCCCCCAACCCCGGUAACGAAGGCGAUGGGGCGUUGUGUCAUUCACUAUAUACAAAAUGACUCUCGGUAAUGGAUAUCUCGGCUCUCGCAUCGAUGAAGAACGUAGCGAAAUGUGAUACUUGGUGUGAAUUUUAGAAUCCUGUGAACCAUCGAGUCUUUGAACGCAAGUUGAACCUGAAGCCAUCUGGCCGAGGGCACGUCUGCCUGGGCGUCACACACGCCGUCGCCCCCCCGCCCCGUGUCGUCUCUCACUGGACAUGUGCGCGGGUGGCGAGGGUAGAACUUGGCCCCACGUGCCCGCUAGGGCGCGGCUGGCCUAAAAAGAGGGAUCUUGGUGAUAGCGGUCAUGGCUGGUUGGUGGUUAUCAAACCUUCACGUCCUGGAGAGUGCCCUUUCACCAAUGGGAUUGCCCCUCGUGACCCCCGAGCGACGCCCCAGGGAGCUGCCCACUAUGCGACCCCAGGGCAGGUGGGACUACUC